UACGUAGGUGGCAAGCGUUACUCGGAAUCACUAGGCGUAAAGCGCAGGUAGGCGGUUGGAUAAGUUUCUUGUGAAAGCUCCUGGCUUAACUGGGAGAGGUCAAGGAAUACUGUCUGACUUGAGUGUGGUAGGGGUAACUGGAAUUCCCGGUGUAGCGGUGAAAUGCGCAGAUAUCGGGAGGAACACCAAUUGCGAAGGCAGCUCGCUGGGACGUCACUGACGCUGAGACGCGAAAGCGUGGGGAGCAAACAGG
rnacentral:rRNA from 1 species